rnacentral:lncRNA from 1 species
UUGGUAGCUAUUAAGCUGGGUUGAGAUUAAGAUGCUCACUGCAUCUCCAAACGUGAUGAAAAUCAAACCCCACUCCUUUACGAUGCCUCCCGGGGGGGGAUUUUCACACUCAGGAGUUUGUACACUAAAACUGAUAUCCUGACCUAAGUGCUGUUCUAGCUCGCCUUACUAUAAAUCAGAAGCAGCUCUCUGGUGCACAUGAACUCACAGUCAGAGCAUUUAUUUGUUAGGAGGGUGGAUUAACAAAGGCGUGGGCAGAACCCAGGAAAGAGAAAGGGGCCAUAAAGCAGAAAAGUGAUGGAGCCAGGCGCACACGGGAUACCGUGUCCCCAAAUAGUUUGGCGUCAAAUAACAAAAAUAGCUAUAACUUCAUUCCCUUAAUGUGCCCAUUAGUCUAAGUAAGACCUUUCUUUGGUUCGUGCCUGAACCUGGCUGUUUCUCUGCAACCUGCAAUUUAAUCUUCUGCGAAUGUAAUACCCUAAACGUAAUCAUCUGUGAAAUUAAAACAUAAUCAGCUCUCCGUUAUUAGGGGAAGUGGGGAGCUGCAAAAUUGAAAGAAGGAAAACCUGGCUGAUGGAAGUGGUUCUGGGCCCAAGAUGGCCCUGGAAGAAUCCCAGUCCUUUCCAGAAGCGAUGUGCUCUGUGCUCUGGCAGGAGAGUCCCCUCAGUCAGGCUGGGAGGUGCAGAACCGGUGUAGGCACCGCUACAUGCAUAGCAUGGCUUAUUCACAACGUGGGUAACAAACCCAGGAAUAAUGGAGAAUAAAUUCUGCUUUGUUUCUUCGUUUGCUUUGCUGUAACUGAAACAAAAUAGGUGUUUAAAUUAAUGUUAAUAAAACAUUUUGAAGCGAGAGUGUUACGAAGGUGCUGCAAGCAGCAAUAAAAUCACCACGAAAUUACAAACAUGAUUUCAUGAAGAAUAAGACAUCAGCUCUGAAAUAGGAUUGAAGCAGCAGAAGUAUCCAGUUGCAGGAAUAAAAGACUUCAUCUAGCAAGAAUGGCAACACCGCACUCCUUAACGCACGGUAGAGGCAGGCAGGAAAGCACUCUCUCACUUCACUUCCAAAACUAAUGAAGAAAAGUGCCCACAAGCUCCAGGGGAGGGAAAAAAGGAUGAAAAACAGGCAGAUUCAGAUAAUUAAAAUGUUAGUUUUUCUUAAAUGACGUCAAACCCUAUUCCCAGAGCUGGCUGUUCAUGUCUGCCUGUUCUCUCCAGUCACGGGUUGGAUAGAGGAGCUGGAGGCUGAAGCAGAACUUCCCAGUGCUGAGUACACGCAGUCUGCCUUUCAGCUUCAGAAACGGCAAAUGUUUGCCAUCUGAACUGCAUUAGCCCGCUACCUAAAGAAAAGGAAAAGCAAGCACAGAAAGACUGGUGGCCAUCAUAAAAAUAAAUGUCAAAUUACUUUCGGGAAUCAUGACAUAACUGCUCUGUUUGCAGUCAUCCUCACUUCUGGCUCCUAUCCUUCACAACCCCAGAAGCAAAGAGAAUUUACAGUAAUUGUGUGUUUAUUUGCGAAUCCCACCUCAUUUUAAUGCAUGCUGUUGCAUUGUUGCAUUGUUCCUCUCCUCCUCAGAUGUGUAGACAAUAACUAACUGCUAACAGGCCUUUAUUAUUGGUGGAUAUAGUCAUAAUUAAUACACGUUAAAAAUAUCUUCAGUAAUUUUAUAAGUAGUUUGAAGCCUUUAAAAUAAACUAAAUUUUCAAGACUUGAAAUACUAAUUCUUCAUUAUGUUGAGUGCAAUUGAUACAUACAGAAGUGGAGACAAAGUCUAUCCCUUAAUAGUCACCUUCUUCCACGUGGAAAAAUAGGGAUUUUCACAGGAGCAAUGAGUACCACCCAGGUACUGACACCCACCGUAAUUUAUAAAGCAAAGUAGGGCCUUUUAAAAGGCUAUGUGAAGACAACUAAUUUCUGAAGGUACACUGAUAGUAGUUCCAAGUAGUUCCAUGUCAGAACAUGGCACAUCUCACGUGGCUGUGGCUGCUGUUUGGCCACGCUGACCAUAUCGGUGCCUGGAAUUGGACCUUUACUAACCAAGGAAAGUAUUCGUCAUCAUAAGAGCCCUGAAUAAAUUGUGCUGCAAGUCAUUUUAGUACCCCAACCAACCUAAAUUAUUUUCUGAUGAAAACUGCCUCCAUCUCCAUGGAUAAGAAACAUCUGGUGGCUGAUGGAGUUGUGCUUUGGCGUCCUUGGAGCCAGACGUGCGAUGGGCAAUGGUAUCACUGAAGGUAGCAGAGGUAAGAGACCUGUCCCUGUCAGGAAAGCUGGUCUGGACUAAAUGACUGACACCCGCUGUCCUGGUUUAUGGCAGGUAUCUAUUUCUGGGACUUCUCACUUGCAAAGGAUGCUCUGCAGAGCUGAUUUCUGACAGCCCUGGGAAGGUGCAGGGCCUGGCCGGUGCCAGCCCUGGGGCUGCAGUGCCUCCUGACGGAGCAAGACAGCUCACGGCCUCUCCUCUGCUGACAAAUUGUGCAGCUGUGGUGUUACAUGUCAGCACUUGUGUUGUGGAUCUCUAGAGACAAACCAGGAAUGUUCUGCAUGCCGGGCAGUGGCUUGGAGCCAUUGCGUUGAGACAACCUUCUUGAGGGAGCCAUGGUGAACAAGAUGAGUGGGGAAUCCACCUGCAGCCAUGUAAAGAUAGGCAUCCUACUGCAACAAGGCCAGCUGUACAGCUUAAAGAGGAGACCUCAAAAAUGCACUAAGUCCUUGCAGCAUUUGAUGUGUGGAUACUAUGCUGACUUCAAACAGCAUUGGUUGAAAGGCAAGGUAGGUGGGACUCUAUGUUCCUGAAGCCUAAGGUACUCUUUCAUCAACAUUUGCGGUGAGCCUGAAGUUGUUUGAAGGUAUUUAUCGUCAUCUGGAAUGUUUCCAGUGGAAAACAUGAUCUUACUGACCUGGAAUCUCACUCAGCUCCUGCAACCUAUAUAUUCAGAGUAGGAGUCAACAGAGAAAUUCGCACUGAUACUCAAUGCAGAGAAGCAAAGAACUGCAGCUACCUGAAAUGAGCUGCUCACCUCUUGAGGUCAUCUAAAAUUAGCCUUUCAUCAAGAUAUUGAUGACAUCUUUCACUGCAUUACCACAGCUGUUAACCUGUUGCCAGGUCCUUCCACUUUAGAAAGGAUAAGAGGGCUUUUGAAGUCGUGUUCCUGCUGGGCUUCUGCAGAAUCUCUGUGGGAUUAUGGAAAUAUAUGUUAUAGGUGAUUAGCAUAGGGAUGGAAAAAUCAAAAAGCGGUCUUGAGAGACAAACAAUUAUGGUGGGAAAAAUGGCCAUCGUGAACUUCAAAUGACAAAGUAGUUUACAAAGAUUCCUGGGAUGGGUGAAUAAUAACACUUGAUUUUUUUCCUUUUUUGGUCUGCAUCAUGUGAGAGAGGAUAUAGAAAAGAAUCAGCAAGGACAGCUAUUGGGAUAAAGGGAAACAUGAAGACAGAGAACUCAGGGUCACAG